AUUGAACGCUGGCGGCAGGCCUAACACAUGCAAGUCGAGCGGAUGAAGGGAGCUUGCUCCUGGAUUCAGCGGCGGACGGGUGAGUAAUGCCUAGGAAUCUGCCUGGUAGUGGGGGAUAACGUCCGGAAACGGGCGCUAAUACCGCAUACGUCCUGAGGGAGAAAGUGGGGGAUCUUCGGACCUCACGCUAUCAGAUGAGCCUAGGUCGGAUUAGCUAGUUGGUGGGGUAAAGGCCUACCAAGGCGACGAUCCGUAACUGGUCUGAGAGGAUGAUCAGUCACACUGGAACUGAGACACGGUCCAGACUCCUACGGGAGGCAGCAGUGGGGAAUAUUGGACAAUGGGCGAAAGCCUGAUCCAGCCAUGCCGCGUGUGUGAAGAAGGUCUUCGGAUUGUAAAGCACUUUAAGUUGGGAGGAAGGGAAGUAAGUUAAUAUCUUGCUGUUUUGACGUUACCAACAGAAUAAGCACCGGCUAACUUCGUG
rnacentral:rRNA from 1 species